rnacentral:rRNA from 1 species
AGUGAACGCUGGCGGUAGGCCUAACACAUGCAAGUCGAACGGCAGCACAGUAAGAGCUUGCUCUUACGGGUGGCGAGUGGCGGACGGGUGAGGAAUACAUCGGAAUCUACUUUUUCGUGGGGGAUAACGUAGGGAAACUUACGCUAAUACCGCAUACGACCUACGGGUGAAAGCAGGGGAUCUUCGGACCUUGCGCGAUUGAAUGAGCCGGUGUCGGAUUAGCUAGUUGGCGGGGUAAAGGCCCACCAAGGCGACGAUCCGUAGCUGGUCUGAGAGGAUGAUCAGCCACACUGGAACUGAGACACGGUCCAGACUCCUACGGGAGGCAGCAGUGGGGAAUAUUGGACAAUGGGCGCAAGCCUGAUCCAGCCAUACCGCGUGGGUGAAGAAGGCCUUCGGGUUGUAAAGCCCUUUUGUUGGGAAAGAAAAGCAGCAGGUUAAUACCCCGCUGUCCUGACGGUACCCAAAGAAUAAGCACCGGCUAACUUCGUG